GGACAACCUACCCUAAGGAGGGGGAUAACCCCGGAAAACUGGGGAUAAUACCCCAUAGAUUAUAGAAGCUGGAAUGCUCUGUAGUCGAAAGGUCCGCCGCCUUAGGAUGGGUCUGCGGCCGAUUAGGUUGUUGUUGGGGUAAAGGCCCAACAAGCCGUUGAUCGGUACGGGUUGUGAGAGCAAGAGCCCGGAGAUGGAUUCUGAGACACGAAUCCAGGCCCUACGGGGCGCAGCAGGCGCGAAAACUUUACAAUGCGGGAAACCGUGAUAAGGGAACCCCGAGUGCCCGUAAAAUCGGGCUGUCCAUCAGUGUAAAUAACUGGUGAAGAAAGGGCCGGGCAAGACCGGUGCCAGCCGCCGCGGUAAUACCGGCGGCUCGAGUGGUGGCCACUAUUAUUGGGCUUAAAGCGUCCGUAGCUUGAUUGUUAAGUCUCUUGGGAAAUCUACCGGCUCAACCGAUAGGCGUUCAAGGGAUACUGGCAAUCUAGGGACCGGGAGAGGUGAGAGGUACUCCAG
rnacentral:rRNA from 1 species